rnacentral:misc_RNA from 1 species
AAGAAUUCCAGCAUCACUGAGGUUGCAAAUGAUCAAUAUCUUCAACUUUUGCCUGGAGAAAAAUAGAGGUUUGAUAACUUACUGCUAGAGAAGUUGUACUGCAUUUUUUUCCCCCACCGAAUCAUAGAAAAUUAGGUGUCAUUUGUAUAUCGUAGAGGGUUUGCUUUUCUUCAGCUAAUGGUGCUGUGAAAAUGUCAAAUGGCUGGUCUUAGGAAGUGUCUG